rfam:Arabis alpina cultivar Pajares chromosome 6, whole genome shotgun sequence.
AUGCUUGGUUCUGGGAUGUUACAUCGACUCUUGAUCAAGAAGAAGAGUGGCCUAGGCUAGUGACUUCCAUUGCACUAUAAGGACGGGUGAUAUGCUUAAGGUCUUCCCAAGUGGAAGAGCCUGCGUCAUUAUUUGUGGCAGAGGGGGUUUUGCGUUCGCGCAGCCCCUUU